CAUGGUUGUGAGCAUCACUACAGCUUGGGAGAGGUUGUUUCAGUAGGAUGUGCAUAUAAUGAAAUACCUGUUGAGGUCACUGCGGGUAAUCCUAGAGGGAGAAACCUGGGAAAGGAGAGCAGCAGCAAAAAAAAUACCAGAGGGAUGAGAAGAGGACCAAACACACCCUCCAGGAGCAGCCAGAAGAACUAAUGAUGGGUUUCAGCUGUGGUUCCUGUGUCAGUGACCAAGCUCAGCUGUGCUCUGCUGGCCCUCCUGAUAUUGCCCUGAGAGAGGCAGAUGAGCUCUGGACAUAUAAUCUCUGUUCUCUAGACAAGAAACUGAAGUGCUGUGGAUUUCUUCAUUGCUUCUAAUUGAUGGCAAAGACCUGUGCAACUUCGCUGAUGAGUUUUUGGCGUGAAACCCUUCCAGGAAUUUCCCUCUGAAGCUUAAAAGACACAUUGUCCUGACCUCUUGCAAAAUGGGAAGGGGCCACAUGAGUGUGACACUGAAACAAGAGCAGUUCACAUGAUGUAAUUUCUAAUAUUACACCAUUUCACAAUAAUGAUAGGAUUUGUCUCAGCACUGCAGUUUCCAUCACUUCACUCAUGUUGAACUGUUUCUGUCCAGGAACUGC